UACGUAGGUGGCAAGCGUUGUCCGGAUUUAUUGGGUUUAAAGGGUGCGUAGGCGGUCCUAUAAGUCAGUGCUGAAAUAUCCCGGCUUAACCGGGAGGGUGGCAUUGAUACUGUGGGACUUGAGUAAAGUUGAGGUUGGCGGAAUUGACGGUGUAGCGGUGAAAUGCUUAGAUAUCGUCAAGAACACCUAUUGCGAAGGCAGCUAACUAAGCUUUAACUGACGCUGAGGCACGAAAGUGUGGGGAGCAAACAGG
rnacentral:rRNA from 1 species